rfam:Callithrix jacchus chromosome 14, whole genome shotgun sequence
GUCUAUGGCCAUAGCACCCUGAAAGCACCCGAUUUCGGAAGCUAAGCAGGGUCGGGCCUGGUUAGUACUUGGAUGGGAGACUACCUGGGACUACUGGGUGCUGUAGCCU